rnacentral:rRNA from 1 species
GAUGAACGCUGACAGAAUGCUUAACACAUGCAAGUCGACUCGAGUCUUCGGACUUGGGUGGCGCACGGGUGAGUAACGCGUAAAGAACUUGCCUCUUAGACCGGGACAACAUCUGGAAACGGAUGCUAAUACCGGAUAUUAUGGUUUUUUCGCAUGGAGGAAUCAUGAAAGCUAGAUGCGCUAAGAGAGAGCUUUGCGUCCCAUUAGCUGGUUGGUGAGGUAACGGCCCACCAAGGCAAUGAUGGGUAGCCGGCCUGAGAGGGUGAACGGCCACAAGGGGACUGAGACACGGCCCUUACUCCUACGGGAGGCAGCAGUGGGGAAUAUUGGACAAUGGACCGCAAGUCUGAUCCAGCAAUUCUGUGUGCACGAUGACGUUUUUCGGAAUGUAAAGUGCUUUCAGUCGGGAAGAAGUCAGUGACGGUACCGACAGAAGAAGCGACGGCUAAAUACGUGCCAGCAGCCGCGGUAAUACGUAUGUCGCAAGCGUUAUCCGGAUUUAUUGGGCGUAAAGCGCGUCUAGGCGGCAAGGAAAGUCUGAUGUGAAAAUGCGGAGCUCAACUCCGUAUGGCGUUGGAAACUGCCUUACUAGAGUACUGGAGAGGUAGGCGGAACUACAAGUGUAGAGGUGAAAUUCGUAUAUAUUUGUAGGAAUGCCGAUGGGGAAGCCAGCCUACUGGACAGAUACUGACGCUAAGCGCGAAAGCGUGGGUUGCGAACAGG